rnacentral:tRNA from 2 species
GCCUCCUUAGCUCAGUUGGUAGAGCGACGCAUUCGUAAUGCGUAGGUCGCAAGUUCAAGUCUUGUAGGGGGCU